UACGGUAGGGUGCAAGCGUUGUUCCGGAAUUAUUGGGGCGUAAAAGGAGCUCGUAGGCGGUUUGUCGCGUCUGACGUGUGAAAACCCGAGGCUCAACCUCGGGCCUGCAGUGGGUACGGGCAGACUAGAGUGCGGUAGGGGAGAUUGGAAUUCCCGGGUGUAAGCGGUGAAAUGCGUUAGAGAGUCGGGACGGAAGGCCGGUGGCGAAGGCGGCGCUCUGGAACGUACCUGACGCUGAAGACGACGGAA
rnacentral:rRNA from 1 species